rnacentral:rRNA from 1 species
UACGGGGGGGGCGAGCGUUGUCCGAAGUUACUGGGCGUAAAGCGCGCGUAGGCGGGUUGGUAAGUCCGCUGUGAAAGCCCGGAGCUUAACUCCGGAGGGUCGGUGGAUACUGCCAGUCUUGAAGGUGCUAGGGGGAGAUGGAAUUACCGGUGUAGCGGUGAAAUGCGUAGAUAUCGGUAGGAACACCAGUGGCGAAGGCGGUCUCCUGGGGCAUUCUUGACGCUGAGGCGCGAAAGCUGGGGGAGCAAACGGG